rnacentral:rRNA from 1 species
AGCAGCCGCGGUAAUUCCAGCUCCAAUAGCGUAUAUUAAAGUUGUUGCAGUUAAAAAGCUCGUAGUUGAAUUUCGGGGCCAGUAGGUUGGUCGUGCCACUGGUAUGCACUGGCCUUACUGGUCCCUCCCUCUUGUAGAACCGUGAUGCCAUUAAUUUGGUGUUGCGGGGAAACAGGACUGUUACUUUGAAAAAUUAGAGUGCUUAAAGCAGGCUCGCGCUUGAAUACAUUAGCAUGGAAUAACGGAAUAGGACGAUCGAACCUAUUUUGUUGGUUUCUAGGAUCGACGUAAUGAUUAAUAGGGAUAGUUGGGGGCAUUAGUAUUCAAUUGUCAGAGGUGAAAUUCUUGGAUUUAUUGAAGACUAACUACUGCGAAAGCAUUUGCCAAGGAUGUUUUCAUUAAUCAAGAACGAAAGUUAGGGGAUCGAAGACGAUCAGAUACCGUCGUAGUCUUAACCAUAAACUAUGCCGACUAGGGAUCGGAUGAAGUUAAUUUUU